GUGAUUACGGAGGCUUCCUGAUGGUGUUAGACUGAUAAUCUGAGUUCAGUCUCUAGUGAAAGAAAGAGCAGAACAACAAACCCUUGUUUCCCGCCAGAAUCCACUCAGUGACCAUGGCAACCUCAUUCCCGCCAAACAGCUGACCUGAUGUAGAGGUCAAAUGGUUCGCUGCGUUACAUCAGCGAGGAAUUUUCAAUCUUCCCCACGACUGACGGAUUCCAACAUUCCGAAACGGAACAAGGAACUCGUUUUGAAACCUAUUCUGGAGAUUUGUUUUCCACGCAGGCAAUCAGAAAUAGCCACGUGGAGCUGUGGAGAAAUGUAGCCUUCUGGCGCACACACACAAUUCAUCUCGGAGCAAAUGGAAAAGCACUGAGAGAGAAAAUCAUUUCAUCACGCCGUCCUCAGUGGUUCCUCAGACAAGCAAUUCUGCAAAUUCAUCAGGGGUGAAAUAUUAUCAGAGAUUAACAACAGAGGAUGAGAUGAUUCACUGUAACCCAACAACACACUUCAACAACAGAUGGACCUGAAACAGAGACAAGGAGAUAUAUACAGUAUAUAUAGACAUGAAGUUUUAAGAGACGGGGCAUCCUGCUACAGCUGGCACGCUGAUGAACAGAAGUGAUUUAGAUCAGACAGACAGGAGGAAAACAAGAGAGAGAGACCAGGGUAUCAGCGCCGGUCAAUGCAGAUGGCAUUUUAAGGCCAAAGCUUUUCCAAAAGGUGAGAAGAAUAAUGAAGAUCCCUUAAAAAAUGAAAUAGGCAGCACUGCAUGUUUUCUUCAGAGAAUGCCGUGCAACAAUGCAUUGUUUUUUUAAAAGGAUAUUGAUCUUAAUGCACCUAUUAAAUCUUGUGAUUUUUGCUGUCAGGCUCCUAGGGUCAUGCA